GUUCCCCCUCUCUAAUCCUUGCUAACUGGGUGACAGUGCUGCCUCAAUGCAAUGCACCUGGGCAAGGAUUCGGAGAGCGAGAGC
rnacentral:pre_miRNA from 1 species